AUAACUCAGUAGGUAGAGUGUUAGGUUGUGGGUCUAAAAGUCACGGGUUCAAAACCCGUUAUC
rnacentral:tRNA from 1 species